CACGUAGGGUGCGAGCGUUGUCCGGAAUUAUUGGGCGUAAAGAGCUCGUAGGCGGUGUGUCGCGUCGGCCGUGAAAACCUGCAGCUUAACUGUGGGCUUGCGGUCGAUACGGGCAUCACUGGAGUUCGGCAGGGGAGACUGGAAUUCCUGGUGUAGCAGUGAAAUGCGCAGAUAUCAGGAGGAACACCGGUGGCGAAGGCGGGUCUCUGGGCCGAUACUGACGCUGAGGAGCGAAAGCGUGGGGAGCGAACAGG
rnacentral:rRNA from 1 species